CCACCACAGGCCGACCCAGCCGCCGCACUCAUCGCCGUUAACACCACCUCUUCCGCAUCCCCCGAUCCACACCGCCCGGCCAAGGGCCACGGCUCCAUUCCCCAACCACCACGCCGCCGAACCCAUAUACCCCCAUCUCCCACACCACACCCCCAUCUGAAUCCACGCUGCCCGGCCUGCCACAUCACACCCCGUUGAUGUCGCACUCGCGCGCUGGCUGCAAGGCGCCAUCGAUGUAAUUCCCCUAAACUGAGACAGAGAGAGGGAGGACGGGGUCAUGGGGCUCCUCCACGCGCCUGGAUCCAGGCGCCACUCAACGCAUCUUGCUCGAUCUGGCCGCCGCCGCGCGCGUCCGUGCUGGAUCUGGCCUUCACAGUCGAAGCUGGGUGGAGGAGCAUGGGGCGGUGGCUUGGUUGUGGAGGUGGGGAAGCGAGCACGGGGCGGUGGCUUGGUUGUGGAGGAGGUGAAGCGAACACGUGUUGUUCUGGCUAGGAGGUGAGUUGCUCAUCCUCGAUCUAGAGAAGGGGAAGGCAGAGGUCUAGGUUCACAAGUUGAGGUAAGCUGCAGCCAUAAAUAAUCGAAGAAGUACAACUUCACAGUUUUGGUGAGAUUCUUGAUCCUAGUUGAAGACUUAUAAUGGUCCUUCCAUCAUGUGGCAUCGUUUGACUACAUUUUGAAUACCUCGUAAUUUGUUUCUAUCAUUACAUAGUUGUAUCAUAGGGAGUAAAAUAUAUUGUGGUGUGAUAAUGGAAAUUCUUGAAUUGGACCAUCACCACAACGGAAAUAUUGUGCUCUUUUGAAUGUUGUUGGUUUGACGACCGUGUACACGGCAAGUGGGUAAACUUUGAUAUAUUUGGAAUCACAGGUAUGAACUCUAAGCAUUUAUUUAACUCUGGUGAGAACUUGUCUGACGAACAAUUAUUUCUGCCUCCCCAAGCAACUCAAGCGUAUUCUGUCCAAGAUUCCAUUAACAAAGAUUCAUGUAGUGUUGUCCAUUCGAAGCCAGGAAUCCUUUUGAAUAUUCUUGGAAAAGAAAUGAAAACUUUGAGAAGGUUGAUGAACCUGUGAUUCUGUUCCUUGGUUUAGAUGCUAAUGUAAAUCUCCAGCCUGAUGUUCUAGAUGCACCUCGUAUUAGAAAAGAUAUAGAUGUACAAUUGUCAGUCAGGUUAAGAAGGAUAAAUAUGUAGCUUAAAAAGCUCUUUUAGUAUUUUGUAAUGUUCCUCUACUUCAGGCUAUGCCCUGUGCAUAAGACGCACUAUUGCUAAUUAUGUCUUUUAUAUUUAAGUAUUCCUGCAGAGUGCUUCUUUGUUCUAUUUUAGAUUGCAUAACACUUAUACUGAUUCUAAGAUGAUGUUUCUUUUCAGGAAAAGAAUGGCAAACAGAGGAUAAAGAGAUGAUGCUGCUACAUAUGAAGAUUUGCGAACAGGGAAUGUAAGGCUUGUCACAUAGAGGUUGAAUGAAUUCAUUCCAAGUCUUGUAUGAACAAAACAACAAGGCAAAGGUCACAAGUAUAAUGCCUUUGCAUCCACAAGGUUCUAGAGGUGUGUUUGGUGAGCUAAAAGGGUCUUUUGCUGGUUUCGGUUUUCUCCAUAAUGUAAAACUUUUACUUGUGAACCUACAAAUGUACUCAUGUGUGCAUGUAGACCUGAUGGAUGGUUGUGCUUUUGGUUGUCCUGUAACUGGACUUGUAUGCCCAUGUGUGCAUCCAGGCAUUGUAGCGACCCGACCUGAAUGGAUCAAGUCUCUGUGCUUAAGUGUCA